AACUAACAAGGAUUCCCCUAGUAGCGGCGAGCGAACCGGGAAGAGCUCAAAUUUAAAAUCUGGCGUGCUUCGUGCGUCCGAGUUGUAAUCUACAGAAGUGUUUUCCGUGCUGGACCGUGUCCAAGUCCCUUGGAAUAGGGUAUCAAAGAGGGUGAUAAUCCCGUACUUGACACGACAACCAGUGCUCUGUGAUACACUUUCUACGAGUCGAGUUGUUUGGGAAUGCAGCUCAAAAUGGGUGGUAAAUUCCAUCUAAAGCUAAAUAUAGGCGAGAGACCGAUAGCGAACAAGUACCGUGAGGGAAAGAUGAAAAGCACUUUGGAAAGAGAGUUAAACAGUACGUGAAAUUGUUGAAAGGGAAACGAUUGAAGUCAGUCAUGUCUAUUGGUUUCAGCUAGCUCUGCUAGUGUAUUACCUUUAGACGGGUCAACAUCAGUUUUAGACGGUGGAAAAAGGCAUGAGGAAAGUAGCAUCUCCGGAUGUGUUAUAGCCUCGUGUUGCAUACACUGUUCGAGACUGAGGAAUGCAGC
rnacentral:rRNA from 1 species